GAUGAACGCUGGCGGCGUGCCUAAUACAUGCAAGUCGAGCGAACAGACGAGGAGCUUGCUCCUCUGACGUUAGCGGCGGACGGGUGAGUAACACGUGGAUAACCUACCUAUAAGACUGGGAUAACUUCGGGAAACCGGAGCUAAUACCGGAUAAUAUAUUGAACCGCAUGGUUCAAUAGUGAAAUACGGUUUUGCUGUCACUUAUAGCUGGAUCCGCGCCGCAUUAGCUAGUUGGUAAGGUAACGGCUUACCAAGGCAACGAUGCGUAGCCGACCUGAGAGGGCGACGGGCCGCCGGGGUGCGGGGACGACGGCCCGCAUCCUAAGGGAGGCACCAGCAGGGAAUCUUCCGCAAUGGGCGGAAGCGUGACGGAGGAACGGCGCGGGAGUGAUGAGGGUCUUCGGAUCGUAAAACACGGUUAUUAGGGAAGAACAAAUGUGUAAGUAACUAGGCACGUCUUGACGGUACCUGAUCAGAAAGCCACGGCUAACUACGUG
rnacentral:rRNA from 1 species